UGGUCGGUACCCAAAUCCAAACUCGAGAAGUUUCUCCCGUCUAGAACUUUUUCUUCUUCUUUUCUUUUUCUCCCUUUCCUUCCUAUUUGUGUCUUUUUUCCUUUUCGUCAUGCUUGCCGUCUCAUGCUUGAAAAGCUUGGUUGGUGUUCUUUAUCUUUUGCCGUUGGACAAUGCAUUGGGUGAGUGAACAAAAAGGUGACCUCGAUUUUCUUCUUCUUCUUCUUCUUCUUAUUGUCUAUUUGUGCAAUAAGGGAUUCUGCUCGUAUGAUUUUUGCUACUCAACGGCCAAUUCUCUAAGGUUUUUCAUUGUUAUGCAAAUUCGUAGCUUGGUCAUAAAAUCAGCUUUGUGGGUCAUUUACCCUAUCUUCCAUUUACAUUCAUUUUUAUUUCAAGCUUAUUGUAGUUCUAGGUUAUAUAGGGUUCUUAAUCUUGAAUGUGUUUUUGAUUAUAUAGCUCCUGGGUUUUUCAACUUUCAAUGUUGGUUAAAUUUACGGUAGAAGAAACAAAGAAAAGAAUUCCAGAGCUGGCACUUGACUGAAAUGUUAAGCAAAAGUAUUAAAAACCAGGAGCAUAUCAGUUACUUGAAGUAACUGUGAUGUUUCCUUUGGCUUUCUCUCUAAUAAUUGAUAUCAUUCAAUUUGGACCUUGAGAAUUGUUACUGUGACUUUUUUUUUUAUUUGUUUUAUAACUUUUGUGCUCUACCUAGAUUUUCUUGAUAUGUUUGAGAUUUUCAUGUUGUCAAAUUUAUUUAUGUGUUGCUUUAGGUGGAAGGAAAUCAAUAUAUAUUAGUGCUUGAAUUAAUUAUAUACUAGGACAUAAGUGCACAAGCAUUGUCAAAAGCUAAAGGGAUAAAUAAAUCCAAAGUCUUCCAUUUUUUUUCUUAUGGUUUGGACCAUCAUUUGACUAUUUUAUCAUUGAAAAGUUGCAUAUUAUUAUCAUGAGAUUAGAUAUGUUCCCCUUUUAAGGUGAUCAUCUGAUUUAAUGAAGAAUUAUAGCAUCACAUUCAACUAAGAGAGACAUGUUUAUGUCUUAAAACUUUGUAGAUUAUUCCUUAAACAAUCACUAAUUUAUUGUUAAUAGAAAGCAUCUCACCAAUUAGAAAAUUAGCAAUAUUUCUACAUCCCAUACAAGGGAUUUAAAAUUUUCACUGUCAUGAUGUUUCUUCCUUGAUAAUUAGUGGAGAAAGUGAAAGGAAACUAGAUAGUGUUUCUUUUUAUUUACUUCAAAUACAUCAUCGUGGUUGAUAUACUAGUAAACACAUUUCCCAAUUACUCUCUUAUAGUUUGUUUGUUCUACUCAUAUUUGACUCUCAUGUAUUCUUCUCAUAUUUAAACUGUUUUUUUUAGGGCUGACUCUUUUUUUUUUUUUUACAGAAGGGCUGACUAUUAAAUUUGCUUCUUGUUUUAAAACCAAAUAAAAAUAUAUAUGUAAAAGUCAUGUUUGAUAGAUAUUUGAUUUAGACUCACAAAAUCUUUUGAGACCUUAAUUGCAUAUGUGGUCAUAUUCAAAAAUUUAUUUUUACAAAUAUAUGUAUAUUGUCUUCAAAACACUGCUAAACAUUUACAGUUUAGCUCUAUUUACAUGUGAUUUAAAUUUUCUAAAGUUCAUGUGGUUCUUAGUUCCCAUUAUGCACCAUAUAUGUUUGUAGGUAUUUUAUAAAACAUUUUAUAUGGUUCUAUGUUUGAAUUUUACUAAAACUUGGUAGAGGAUCCUAAAGGAAUUUAGAGGUGCACUUUCUAGGACUUUUAAAAUUUUGUAUCUAAUCUCAAAUAGAUUUUCUAAUCUCCAUUGGCCAACUUACAGUCACAAGAACUGCCCAUUUAACCUAAUAGUUAUAUAGUUCUCAAACUUUCUUGAAUUGAAAGUUCCUAGGUAGGAGGCCAUCUACAUGUCAAAAGUGUGACAAAAUGAACUUUCCUUGAGUGUAAAGUAAAAUAAUGGUCACUGAGAUCAGUAUGAAGGCUACAAAAUUACUGGUUUCUUAUUGGUUAUCUGUCGUGCAAGUAAACUGUUAUUGCCUCUCUACAAUUCACACUAAGAAUGAACCAAGCCAUUCUAUGACUCUAGGUAAAGCUAAUGCUGUGAAUGGUUGGACUGGACAUUACUAUUAGCUAUUGUAUCAAAACUUUGGUGUAGAUGAUUUUGUGGCCAGAUUCCUAUUUUAAAUUUUCUUUUUCAUAAAAAUUUUGGUUUCAGUUUUCUUUAUCUCUACUUUGCUAUUUUAACUAUGUAAUUGCUUCUCUCUUCAAUAGCAACAAUUACUAGAUAAUCUAAUUAGAAACUAAAAAAAAAAGGCAUCUGUUCUGUUAAGAUUUAUUUGAUCAUCACCAACAUAGUUUUUUCAAUCUUUAUGGUUUUUAUCCUAAUUGCCACUAUGUUAUUGGUUCAAGAGACAUGUAAUAUUGAUGGUGGAUGGUGUAUUAGAUCAAGGACUAGCAUGCGUAGGUUUCCUUGACAAAAAUGAUUCCAUAGUACAUGUAAUUUUGUUGAACUUUUAUCCUGUUUUUCAAAACAGCUUGCUCAUUGAUUUA